rnacentral:rRNA from 1 species
GACGUAGGGGGCCAGCGUUGUUCGGAAUUACUGGGUGUAAAGGGUUCGUAGGCGGUGUGGCAAGUCGGGAGUGAAAUCUCUGGGCUCAACUCAGAGGCUGCUUCCGAAACUGCUGUGCUUGAGUGUGGGAGAGGCGCGUGGAAUUGCAGGUGUAGCGGUGAAAUGCGUAGAUAUCUGCAGGAACACCCGUGGCGAAAGCGGCGCGCUGGACCACUACUGACGCUGAGGAACGAAAGCUAGGGGAGCAAAC